rnacentral:rRNA from 1 species
GAAGUAAAAUUCGUAACAAGGUCUCCGUUGGUGAACCAGCGGAGGGAUCAUUA